UACGAAGGGGGCGAGCGUUGUUCGGAUUUAUUGGGCGAAAGAGCUCGUAGGCGGUUCAGUAAGUCGGGUGUGAAAACUUUGGGCUUAACCCAAAGCGUGCAUCCGAUACUGCUGUGACUUGAGUACGGUAGGGGAGCGGGGAAUUCCUAGUGUAGCGGGUGAAAUGCGCAGAUAUUAGGAGGAACACCGGUGGCGAAGGCGCCGCUCUGG
rnacentral:rRNA from 1 species